ACAAAGUAGAUACUGCGACAGUAGUCGAAGUUAGUACGAGAGGAACACUUCGUCCCAGAUACUUGGUUAAUGCCGUUGUCUGAAAAGACAGUACGGCGAAGCUACCAUCUGCUGGAUUACGGCUGAACGCCUCUAAGCCGGAAUCCAUGCUGGAUAAGCAGUGUUGUACACCGUGCUCAAUGCUACAAGAAAAAGGCUAGGUCAGGCUUCGGCCUGACCAAAAUUCAAGCUGCUAUACCUCUGGCUGCAUUGACUUGUGGUCAGAGUGUAUGGUGAUCAUAGCAAUUGCAAGUAUUGGGCUCGAUAAAUCCUUUGAAGACGACUUAAUUGCAUCCGAGUAUUGUAAGUGUUGAGAGUAGGCUUAGUCUUACGAUCCACUGAGAUUCAUCCCGUGUUGCGCCGAUUUGU
rnacentral:ncRNA from 1 species